rnacentral:rRNA from 1 species
AGCGAACGCUGGCGGCAGGCUUAACACAUGCAAGUCGAACGGGCCCUUUCGGGGGUCAGUGGCAGACGGGUGAGUAACACGUGGGAACGUACCCUUUGGUUCGGAACAACUCUGGGAAACUGGAGCUAAUACCGGAUACGCCCUUAUGGGGAAAGGUUUACUGCCGAAGGAUCGGCCCGCGUCUGAUUAGCUAGUUGGUGGGGUAGCGGCCUACCAAAGCGACGAUCAGUAGCUGGUCUGAGAGGAUGAUCAGCCACACUGGGACUGAGACACGGCCCAG